rnacentral:misc_RNA from 1 species
AAUUGUUUGAAAAAAUAAAUGGCAACUGUGGCCAAUUCAGUCCAAUUCUGUUGUUUAAAACUGUGAUUCCAACUUCCAAGCUGUGCUUAAUUUAAUUGCCACUGUUGUUUGAAAGAUGUAGUUUAGUUCACUCUUGUUUGUCACUUUGUCAUGAACUCUAAAGAAAUCCUUUUUCUGCAGGUUGAGGGCACACCUCUUGGA